rnacentral:rRNA from 1 species
GGUCAAGUGAAGAAGCGCAUACGGUGGAUGCCUUGGCAGUCAGAGGCGAUGAAAGACGUGGUAGCCUGCGAAAAGCUUCGGGGAGUCGGCAAACAGACUUUGAUCCGGAGAUCUCUGAAUGGGGGGAACCCACCUAGGAUAACCUAGGUAUCUUGUACUGAAUCCAUAGGUGCAAGAGGCGAACCAGGGGAACUGAAACAUCUAAGUACCCUGAGGAAAAGAAAUCAACCGAGAUUCCCUUAGUAGUGGCGAGCCAAAGGGGGAUUAGCCCUUAAGCUUCAUUGAUUUUAGCGGAACGCUCUGGAAAGUGCGGCCAUAGUGGGUGAUAGCCCCGUACGCGAAAGGAUCUUUGAAGUGAAAUCGAGUAGGACGGAGCACGAGAAACUUUGUCUGAACAUGGGGGGACCAUCCUCCAAGGCUAAAUACUACUGACUGACCGAUAGUGAACCAGUACCGUGAGGGAAAGGCGAAAAGAACCCCGGAGAGGGGAGUGAAAUAGAACCUGAAACCGUAUGCGUACAAGCAGUGGGAGCCUACUUGUUAGGUGACUGCGUACCUUUUGUAUAAUGGGUCAGCGACUUAUAUUCAGUGGCAAGCUUAACCGUAUAGGGUAGGCGUAGCGAAAGCGAGUCUUAAUAGGGCGUUUAGUCGCUGGGUAUAGACCCGAAACCGGGCGAUCUAUCCAUGAGCAGGUUGAAGGUUAGGUAACACUGACUGGAGGACCGAACCCACUCCCGUUGAAAAGGUAGGGGAUGACUUGUGGAUCGGAGUGAAAGGCUAAUCAAGCUCGGAGAUAGCUGGUUCUCCUCGAAAGCUAUUUAGGUAGCGCCUCAUGUAUCACUCUGGGGGGUAGAGCACUGUUUCGGCUAGGGGGUCAUCCCGACUUACCAAACCGAUGCAAACUCCGAAUACCCAGAAGUGCCGAGCAUGGGAGACACACGGCGGGUGCUAACGUCCGUCGUGAAAAGGGAAACAACCCAGACCGCCAGCUAAGGUCCCAAAGUUGUGGUUAAGUGGUAAACGAUGUGGGAAGGCUUAGACAGCUAGGAGGUUGGCUUAGAAGCAGCCAUCCUUUAAAGAAAGCGUAAUAGCUCACUAGUCGAGUCGGCCUGCGCGGAAGAUGUAACGGGGCUCAAACCACACACCGAAGCUGCGGGUGUCACGUAAGUGACGCGGUAGAGGAGCGUUCUGUAAGCCUGUGAAGGUGAGUUGAGAAGCUUGCUGGAGGUAUCAGAAGUGCGAAUGCUGACAUGAGUAACGACAAUGGGUGUGAAAAACACCCACGCCGAAAGACCAAGGGUUCCUGCGCAACGUUAAUCGACGCAGGGUUAGUCGGUUCCUAAGGCGAGGCUGAAAAGCGUAGUCGAUGGGAAACAGGUUAAUAUUCCUGUACUUCUGGUUACUGCGAUGGAGGGACGGAGAAGGCUAGGCCAGCUUGGCGUUGGUUGUCCAAGUUUAAGGUGGUAGGCUGAAAUCUUAGGUAAAUCCGGGGUUUCAAGGCCGAGAGCUGAUGACGAGUCGUCUUUUAGAUGACGAAGUGGUUGAUGCCAUGCUUCCAAGAAAAGCUUCUAAGCUUCAGGUAACCAGGAACCGUACCCCAAACCGACACAGGUGGUCGGGUAGAGAAUACCAAGGCGCUUGAGAGAACUCGGGUGAAGGAACUAGGCAAAAUGGCACCGUAACUUCGGGAGAAGGUGCGCCGGCUAGGGUGAAGGAUUUACUCCGUAAGCUCUGGCUGGUCGAAGAUACCAGGCCGCUGCGACUGUUUAUUAAAAACACAGCACUCUGCAAACACGAAAGUGGACGUAUAGGGUGUGACGCCUGCCCGGUGCCGGAAGGUUAAUUGAUGGGGUUAGCGCAAGCGAAGCUCUUGAUCGAAGCCCCGGUAAACGGCGGCCGUAACUAUAACGGUCCUAAGGUAGCGAAAUUCCUUGUCGGGUAAGUUCCGACCUGCACGAAUGGCGUAACGAUGGCGGCGCUGUCUCCACCCGAGACUCAGUGAAAUUGAAAUCGCUGUGAAGAUGCAGUGUAUCCGCGGCUAGACGGAAAGACCCCGUGAACCUUUACUGUAGCUUUGCACUGGACUUUGAGCCUGCUUGUGUAGGAUAGGUGGGAGGCUUUGAAGCGUGGACGCCAGUUCGCGUGGAGCCAUCCUUGAAAUACCACCCUGGCAUGCUUGAGGUUCUAACUCUGGUCCGUGAUCCGGAUCGAGGACAGUGUAUGGUGGGCAGUUUGACUGGGGCGGUCUCCUCCUAAAGAGUAACGGAGGAGUACGAAGGUGCGCUCAGACCGGUCGGAAAUCGGUCGUAGAGUAUAAAGGCAAAAGCGCGCUUGACUGCGAGACAGACACGUCGAGCAGGUACGAAAGUAGGUCUUAGUGAUCCGGUGGUUCUGUAUGGAAGGGCCAUCGCUCAACGGAUAAAAGGUACUCCGGGGAUAACAGGCUGAUACCGCCCAAGAGUUCAUAUCGACGGCGGUGUUUGGCACCUCGAUGUCGGCUCAUCACAUCCUGGGGCUGAAGCCGGUCCCAAGGGUAUGGCUGUUCGCCAUUUAAAGUGGUACGCGAGCUGGGUUUAGAACGUCGUGAGACAGUUCGGUCCCUAUCUGCCGUGGACGUUUGAGAUUUGAGAGGGGCUGCUCCUAGUACGAGAGGACCGGAGUGGACGAACCUCUGGUGUUCCGGUUGUCACGCCAGUGGCAUUGCCGGGUAGCUAUGUUCGGAAAAGAUAACCGCUGAAAGCAUCUAAGCGGGAAACUUGCCUCAAGAUGAGAUCUCACUGGGAACUUGAUUCCCCUGAAGGGCCGUCGAAGACUACGACGUUGAUAGGCUGGGUGUGUAAGCGUUGUGAGGCGUUGAGCUAACCAGUACUAAUUGCCCGUGAGGCUUGACCAU